rnacentral:rRNA from 1 species
GAUGAACGCUGGCGGCGUGCCUAAUACAUGCAAGUCGAGCGAACGGACGAGAAGCUUGCUUCUCUGAUGUUAGCGGCGGACGGGUGAGUAACACGUGGAUAACCUACCUAUAAGACUGGGAUAACUUCGGGAAACCGUAGCUAAUACCGGAUAAUAUUUUGAACCGCAUGGUUCAAAAGUGAAAGACGGUCUUGCUGUCACUUAUAGAUGGAUCCGCGCUGCAUUAGCUAGUUGGUAAGGUAACGGCUUACCAAGGCAACGAUGCAUAGCCGACCUGAGAGGGUGAUCGGCCACACUGGAACUGAGACACGGCCCAGACUCCUACGGGAGGCAGCAGUAGGGAAUCUUCCGCAAUGGGCGAAAGCCUGACGGAGCAACGCCGCGUGAGUGAUGAAGGUCUUCGGAUCGUAAAACUCUGUUAUUAGGGACGAACAUAUGUGUAAGUAACUGUGCACAUCUUGACGGUACCUAAUCAGAAAGCCCCGGCUAACUACGUG